UAUCUGGCCUGCAUUCAGCCGCGCCCCGCUGGCGUCAGGGAUGCCGCUCUCCAGAUUGGGACGGUGGUCUGACUUCUCGGUGGGUUUCGUGGUGCAUUUGCAGGUGGAGUGCGCCGAGGCGCUCGGUGUAGCGGCAUGAGCUUGGCUUUGAGGCCAGCCUCGCAAGAGGUCUGGUACCCGGGCCAGGGGAGUGCUGUUUGUGCUGGGCGCAGCAAAGGGCAAUGGUCUCGGGCUCGUGUGGGUGCCGAGCUGGCGGUCGGCGUCGGUCGCGUGCGACACGUGCCAUCAGUCAGUUCGGUCCUGCUCGAGCUCACAUCUGCUCGACCUCGGUGUAAAAGCCGGUCAUCUGUCCGACCCGUCUUGAAACACGGACCAAGGAGUUUAGNGUGUGCGCGAGUCAUUGGGCGUUGAAAACCCAAAGGCGCAAUGAAAGUGAAUGCCUCCCUUGCGGAGCUGAUGUGUGAUCCUGGAUGCCUCGGCAUACUGGGCGCAACAUAGUCCCGUCCCGAUUGCUUGCAAUGGGGCGGAGACAGAGCGUACGCGCUGAG
rnacentral:rRNA from 1 species